rnacentral:rRNA from 1 species
UACGUAGGGGGCUAGCGUUGUCCGGAAUCAUUGGGCGUAAAGAGCGCGUAGGCGGCCAGAUAAGUCCGGUGUGAAAGUCACAGGCUCAACCUGUGAAUGCCGCUGGAAACUGUAUGGCUAGAGUCCGGAAGGGGCGAGUGGAAUUCCUGGUGUAGCGGUGAAAUGCGCAGAUAUCAGGAGGAACACCGGUGGCGAAGGCGGGUCUCUGGGCCGAUACUGACGCUGAGGAGCGAAAGCGUGGGGAGCGAACAGG